rnacentral:lncRNA from 1 species
AAAAUAUUUUUAUUGGCCACCAUUUUUCAUCACACAGAGUUAUUCUUCGAUUAACCUAAGCGGAGGCAUGUUGUCCCAAGUGUCAAGAAGAAUUUGCUCCUCUGCUAUUCGCAGAAGCGCCGGAGAGGAUGUCCAUCCUGUUUACUUGAAGAUUAAGGAAGUGCAAAAGCAAUACCAAGUGAACAACGGAUUAUUGAUUCAUGAGCGUCAUGGAAACCUGGGGAAAAUUCUUCAAGGUAUGACUGCAAUCGUUUUCGUAGCUGCUGCCAUUCAAAGUGGAAUGCUUCUUGGACAAUGUUUGAAACCUUUAUUCGUCAAGAAUGAAUAAUUAAGAUUUCCAAAAUGUCUUCUCCGUUGUCGUAGUUCUGGCUUUGGAAAGCUUUCCAACAGAUGCCAGUAGAUAAAUUAUUGAUUUUAAUUUAAAUAUAUAAUUGGCUUGAGAUAUAUACUGAUAUAAAAUAAAAAAUGUUUUAAUUAAA